rnacentral:lncRNA from 1 species
AGAUUUUCUAAGUAUUUUUAUUUCUUAUGUUAAUACCAUGUCAAAGUGAUAAGUUGAAAAAUCAUAUUGUUUAUCAAAAACUUUUAGAGAAUUAUCUUUAACAAAACUACCAACUCAAUUCAUAGCAAAAAUUUUAAAAAUACAAUUCCAUGGAACCUAAUUGGUUUGGGCCUGAAAAUGUACCAAGUCUACUGUCCAGUUUGCUCGUAAAAACCCAAUUUUCAUGAUCCUGAAACAAACGAAUUGGAAUUACCAUGUAUAAUAAUUUUGAAUAAAAGAGUAAAGCUAUUAAUAUCAAACUAACUCAUUAUACAAGAAAGGUAUAGAAAGGACUAACUUAUUAACUAAAUAAUGAGAUUAAUUCCUUAACGAUGACCAAAUCUACGUAUUACUGUUCUAACAAGUUUCCAAAAAGAAAAUAUUGUUUUUUCCUUCUUCUAUUACAUGGAAAUGUAUAAAUCUUCUAGAUGAACACAUGAAGCUUAAAAAGAUUUUUUUACAAUUUUUAGAACAUUUUUAACAUAAUGCUAAUAUAACUUAAAUAGAAGAAACAGUGUAAAUGACUAGUUCUACAUGGGUUCACACAUAACUUCCAACUAAACAACUUUAAACCACAUGAUUCAUGCAGUAAUUUAAACCAUACACCAGACAAUAUUUAAACAAAACACAACUUUUGAUAUACAACAAAUUCAUAGUCAGGAUAACAACGAGAUUAAAUAUUUACAUUGUUUAGAAUAGUACCGUGAUAAUAGCAAGAAAACAAACGUAAAGAUAGAAAAUAUGUCUCUGAAAAUCUGAGCAAAAGCAGCAAUAAGAAUACCAAAUAGGAAACCAAAAUAGCUUCAAAUUUCAAACUUAGAAAUCCUAGCAAAAGUAUGAAACCAUUAGGAGUUCUUUGCUAAAAAUGAAGGAAAGAGACUCAAAAGCUGUGAAUAAUCAGUGUAUUUUUCUCUGUGUGUGUAUAUUCUAUGUCCAACUCCAGG